UCUCUCCCACUACUUCCACUCCCUCUCUAACCACUCAUAACCUCUCUCUGUGAAUGAAAAAAAGAAAAAAACAAAGAAAAUUGAAAUUGUUCAUCUUCCUCUUCAACCACCCUCUCCAACCUACACAACUUCCGCCGUCGAAAACCACAUCACCGCCGUCAUCGUUCUCCCUCACUCGCAGCGCGCACCCACCGUGCCCUAAACCGAC
rnacentral:lncRNA from 1 species